rnacentral:rRNA from 1 species
ACCUCGGAUCAGGUAGGGAUACCCGCUGAACUUAAGCAUAUCAAUAAGCGGAGGAAAAGAAACCAACAGGGAUUACCUCAGUAACGGCGAGUGAAGCGGUAACAGCUCAAAUUUGAAAGCUAGCUCUUUUAGGGUUCGCAUUGUAAUUUGUAGAAGAUGCUUCGGGUGUGGCCCCGGUCUAAGUUCCUUGGAACAGGACGUCAUAGAGGGUGAGAAUCCCGUAUGUGACUGGGUGCUUUCGCUCAUGUGAAGCUCUUUCGACGAGUCGAGUUGUUUGGGAAUGCAGCUCAAAAUGGGUGGUAAAUUUCAUCUAAAGCUAAAUAUUGGCCAGAGACCGAUAGCGCACAAGUAGAGUGAUCGAAAGAUGAAAAGCACUUUGGAAAGAGAGUUAAACAGUACGUGAAAUUGUUGAAAGGGAAGCGCUUGCAACCAGACUUGCGCGCUGAUGAUCAUCCGGGCUUCUGCCCGGUGCACUCGUCUGCGCUCAGGCCAGCAUCGGUUUCGGUGGUGGGAUAAAGGCCUUGGGAAUGUAGCUCCUCUCGGGGAGUGUUAUAGCCCUCGGUGCAAUGCCGCCUACCGGGACCGAGGACCGCGNU